rnacentral:lncRNA from 1 species
UAGAAACAGGAGUUUGCUUGUUUAUAUGUUCCACACUCAAAAAGGCAUAAUCAAAAUGUUUCUAAAUAAUGAUUUUACAAAAACCAUCAUUUACAUAAUUUGUAUAAAAAGCUUAAUACAAUUUUAAUCAAAAUUUUAAGUAAUUUAAAAAAUGCUUUAAGAUUCUAUAUUUCUGGAGUACCUAUGAAGUGGUAUGACUACAUCAUGUGAAAUAUUUAUUUUCUUCUUUAACUUUGGAGUUUCGAUUUAUCACGUGGCACAGAAUCUGCCUUUGCACUGAGUACCUUUUCAUUCGCAUCUCCUCUGCCUUAGUCACAGUGGCAGCAGUGCAGAAAACUCUCUCAAACCUCAGAAUAUAGUAGAAAUAAUUAAAGCUGUUGAAUGAGUCUUAAAAAUCAUACUACUGUUAAGUGGACCAAGUUUGGUGAAGCAGAAUGUGACAGAGGUUGAUUAAGGAAGGAGCAACUCAAGGACAUUGGGAAUGAUAACUUUUCCACUUGAGAACUACUUUAUGUUUUACUGU